CGCGUAGGCGGCCCGCUAAGUCGAACGUGAAAUCCCCGAGCUCAACUCGGGAACUGCGUCCGAUACUGGUGGGCUUGAAUCCGGGAGAGGGAUGCGGAAUUCCAGGUGUAGCGGUGAAAUGCGUAGAUAUCUGGAGGAACACCGGUGGCGAAGGCGGCAUCCUGGACCGGCAUUGACGCUGAGGCGCGAAAGCUAGGGGAGCAAACGG
rnacentral:rRNA from 1 species